rnacentral:rRNA from 1 species
UACGGAAGGGGCAAGCGUUGUUCGGAAUCAUUGGGCGUAAAGGGCGCGUAGGUGGUUCUGUAUGUCUACCGUGAAAGCAUACAGCUCAACUGUAUUUUGUCGGUAGAAACUGCAGGACUUGAGGCUGGGAGGGGCUGGUGGAAUUCCCUGUGUAGCGGUGAAAUGCGUAGAGAGUGGGGGAGAACACUCGUGGCGAAGGCGGCCAGCUAGACCAGUUCUGACACUGAGGCGCGACAGCGUGGGGAGCAAACAGG